rnacentral:rRNA from 1 species
AAUCAAACUUGGGAGUCAGACUACGACUUAUAAGGGCCGUGGUCAAGAGGGAAACAGCCCAGAUCAUCAGCUAAGGUCCCAAAUGCCGUGCUAAGUGGCGAAGGAUGUGGCGUUUCAUAAACAACCAGGAUGUUGGCUUAGAAGCAGCCAUCAUUUAAAGAGUGCGUAAUAGCCCACUGGUCGAGAGACGCUGCGCCGAAGAUGUCCGGGGCUCAAGCACGGAACCGAAGCUAUGGCAGACGCAAGCCGUCUGGGUAGGGGAGCGUUCUUAUUGGGGAGAAGCGAUACCGGAAGGAGUCGUGGACUGAUAAGAAGUGAGAAUGCUGGUAUGAGUAUCGAAAAGAAAGGUGAGAAUCCUUUCCACCGAAAGCCCGAGGGUUCCUGAGCAACGAUCGUCGUCUCAGGGUAAGUCGGGACCUAAGCCGAGGCGGAAAAGCGUAGGCGAUGGACAACAGGUUGAAAUUCCUGUACCGGUGUGAAUCGUUUGAUCGAUGGAGUGACACAGUAAGGUAGGUCAGCACGCGAUUGGAAGUGCGUGUUUAAGCAGGUAGGUUGAGCUAUAGGCAAAUCCGUAGCUCUAAAAGCUGAGAUGUGAUGACGAGUGACUAGCAAUAGUCGCGAAGUGAUUGAUCCUACACUGUCGAGAAAAGCUUCUAGGUAGAGACACAUCGCCCGUACCAAAACCGACACAGGUAGGCGGGGAGAGAAUCCUAAGGUGCGCGGGAAAACCCUCGUUAAGGAACUCGGCAAAUUGCAUCCGUAACUUCGGAAGAAGGAUGGCCCUUGGUAGGCGAAGAGUCAAGCACUUGGAACCGAGAAGGGUGGCAGAAAAGAGGCCCAAGCAACUGUUUACCAAAAACACAGGUGCCUGCGAAAGCGAAAGCUGAAGUAUAGGUGCUGACGCCUGCCCGGUGCUGGAAGGUUAAGGAGAGAGGUCAGCUAAGGCGAAGCUUUGAACUGAAGCCCCAGUGAACGGCGGCCGUAACUAUAACGGUCCUAAGGUAGCGAAAUUCCUUGUCAGGUAAGUUCUGACCCGCAUGAAAGGCGUAAUGAUUUGGGCACUGUCUCAACAGCCCGCCCGGCGAAAUUGUAGUACCGGUGAAGAUGCCGGUUACCCGCGACAAGACGGAAAGACCCCAUGGAGCUUUACUGUAGCCUGAUAUUGGGUUUCGGUGUUGCAUGCACAGGAUAGAUGGGACGCUGGGAAAGAAGCGCUUUGGCGUUUCUGGAGCGGACGUUGGGAUACCAUCCUUGCGACAUUGGAAUUCUAACCUGCGCCUCUGAAUCGAGGCGGGGGACAUUGUCAGGUGGGCAGUUUGACUGGGGCGGUCGCCUCCUAAAAAGUAGCGGAGGCGUUCAAAGGUUCGUUCGAUCUGGACGGAAACCAGAUGAUUGAGUGCAAACGCAUAAACGAGCCUGACUGCGAGACUGACGGGUCGAGCAGAGACGAAAGUCGGAGUUAGUGAUCCGGUGGUAUGUGAGUGGAAAUGCCAUCGCUCAACGGAUAAAA